rnacentral:rRNA from 1 species
GACGAACGCUGGCGGCGUGCUUAACACAUGCAAGUCGAACGGAAAGGCCCUGCUUUUGUGGGGUGCUCGAGUGGCGAACGGGUGAGUAACACGUGAGUAACCUGCCCUUGACUUUGGGAUAACUUCAGGAAACUGGGGCUAAUACCGGAUAGGAGCUCCUGCUGCAUGGUGGGGGUUGGAAAGUUUCGGCGGUUGGGGAUGGACUCGCGGCUUAUCAGCUUGUUGGUGGGGUAGUGGCUUACCAAGGCUUUGACGGGUAGCCGGCCUGAGAGGGUGACCGGCCACAUUGGGACUGAGAUACGGCCCAGACUCCUACGGGAGGCAGCAGUGGGGAAUAUUGCACAAUGGGCGGAAGCCUGAUGCAGCAACGCCGCGUGCGGGAUGACGGCCUUCGGGUUGUAAACCGCUUUCGCCUGUGACGAAGCGUGAGUGACGGUAAUGGGUAAAGAAGCACCGGCUAACUACGUGCCAGCAGCCGCGGUGAUACGUAGGGUGCGAGCGUUGUCCGGAUUUAUUGGGCGUAAAGGGCUCGUAGGUGGUUGAUCGCGUCGGAAGUGUAAUCUUGGGGCUUAACCCUGAGCGUGCUUUCGAUACGGGUUGACUUGAGGAAGGUAGGGGAGAAUGGAAUUCCUGGUGGAGCGGUGGAAUGCGCAGAUAUCAGGAGGAACACCAGUGGCGAAGGCGGUUCUCUGGGCCUUUCCUGACGCUGAGGAGCGAAAGCGUGGGGAGCGAACAGGCUUAGAUACCCUGGUAGUCCACGCUGUAAACGGUGGGUACUAGGUGUGGGGUCCAUUCCACGGGUUCCGUGCCGUAGCUAACGCUUUAAGUACCCCGCCUGGGGAGUACGGCCGCAAGGCUAAAACUCAAAGGAAUUGACGGGGCCCCGCACAAGCGGCGGAGCAUGCGGAUUAAUUCGAUGCAACGCGUAGAACCUUACCUGGGUUUGACAUGGAUCGGGAGUGCUCAGAGAUGGGUGUGCCUCUUUUGGGGUCGGUUCACAGGUGGUGCAUGCCUGUCGUCAGCUAGUGUCGUGAGAUGUUGGGUUAAGUCCCGCAACGAGCGCAACCCUUGUUCACUGUUGCCAGCACGUUAUGGUGGGGACUCAGUGGAGACCGCCGGGGUCAACUCGGAGGAAGGUGGGGAUGACGUCAAGUCCUCAUGCCCCUUAUGUCCAGGGCUUCACGCAUGCUACAAUGGCUGGUACAGAGAGUGGCGAGCCUGUGAGGGUGAGCGAAUCUCGGAAAGCCGGUCUCAGUUCGGAUUGGGGUCUGCAACUCGACCUCAUGAAGUCGGAGUCGCUGGUAAUCGCAGAUCAGCAACGCUGCGGUGAAUACGUUCCCGGG